CCUACUUGUUAUUGUGAUUGUUCCACACUGAGAUUGUUCCACACUGAGAUUGAGAUUGUUCCUACAUAGUACUGAGCCAUCAAGGGUUCGGCGGCUCUCCAGCUCAACAAUGGACCCAGUCAACCAGCUUCUACAUAUUCGGAAAGGAGACUUACCAUCCUACCUGAUCAGGCUUGCUCUCCUGUGCCAUUGAUACCACUGCGGUGGUCCUCUGCUCUGCCCUGGUGGGCUUCUGUCCCAUCUGCUCAGCUGUGGUGCUCCUCUGCUCCACCCUGGUGGGCUUCUGUCCUGUCUGCUCUGCUUUGUUGGUCCUCUGCUCCACCCUGGUGGGCUUCAGUCCUGUCUGCUAGGCUGUGGUGAUCCACUGCUCUGCCCUCGUAGGUUUCUGUCCCAUCUGUUUGCUGUUGUACGACCUUUUGCCUGUCUGACUAUGCACUUUGUUUGAAUAAAAGCAAAGUAGCAAUCAUGUUACAUAAAGAUAUUUUGUAAGUUACCUACUGUAAAUAUAAAGUUUAUUUUUUAUUAAUAUGCAUUUCUAUGGACAAAUGUAAAGGUGAUUUUUCUCAAAGGGUUUAUUUUUUUUUAUUUUUUUUAUUUAUUUAUUUAUUGUACCCUUAGAUUUCAGAUAUACAAAUAGUUGUAUCUCAUCCAAAUAUUGUCCUUCUAACAAACCAUACAUCAAUGGAAAGUGUAUUUAUUGUUUCAGAUGAUGUACAAAUCUCAAAUCAAAGAUUUACCCUUAUGACUGAUUUUGUGGUCCAGGGUCAUAAAUGUUGAUUUUGUAGGUCUGUUGUGUUUGCACACUGCAGAAAACAGCAUGCCUUUCUCUUACACAAAAAAAAGCCCUGUAGCAUUGAGUAUACA